UUUUACCUGUCACACGUAAAUCAUUUAAUUUGUUUUGUCUUUGGUUGUAUUAAAACUUCACAAGCCAAUCCGAAUAAAGUCUCAACGUGUAAAGGGCGGGACUAGUGCAGCAGGUUAGCGUGGGGAGUAGUGAGCACAUGUAGAGAAAGAAACCUGACCGGACUGAGAGCUAAGAGGAGGCAUCGUAGUGUGGGAAGCAGUUGAGUUUUAUCGUGAGGUCGACUACUCGUGGUCCUGAUUUAAACUUCUUUGUGACCUGCAAAAAGGUGAAUACGAUGUGUAUGCCUCCAUUGUGCUAUAUCUAACUGUUAUAGUAACGAAGAGUACUGGAUGUGUAACGCGGUUAGCGAAGUGCUAGUUAGCGGUAGCAUUCUGUGUUAAUGUGCCCGCAUAUCGUAGUUUUGUAUUGUGACUUAAGUUAACGCAAAGCUAAUGCUAGUUCGAUAUGAAAUAGUGUUUGAUAUUAUGGCUCAUUGGAUAAUAUGCAAAAAGGAGUUGGACGUUGGAGAGAGAGGGGUUUCCAGCAGAUGGCCCUGCUGUUUCUGUGUUUUCUUCCUUGUGACUUCGCCACCGCCAUUGCCCACGUGUGUGUUUGGAUUGCCACCGCCAUUGCCAUUAUCUUCGUGAGAAUAUCAUCCCCCAAUCCCUUUCUGCCCCUACUAAUUACACCCUGGAUUUCGUGAGUACUGACCAGGCGCGUCGUUAGCAAUUGAAAACAUCCGGGGCUUUAGCCCGGGGGGGAGCACCGUCCUGACUCCUGCGUGCUACGGUAUCUUAAUUAAUUAAUUAAUUAAUUAAUUAAUUAAUUAAUUAAUUAAUGUAUCGAUUAAUUAAUUAAGGGCGCCCCCAAUACAUAGGUCGCCUAUGCCGAGCGCCAGGGCAAAAAUAAGACAUUAGAAUAGCCUAUAUAGCCUGCGUGCACCUACCCGAUGUCAAGAAGCCAUCGCUGCUCCGACGGACCUUUCUCCCCCAGCCAGGCAACGGCAAUUAACUACAGCCGCCCUUCCUGGGUAACGCCACCACCAAUCCCUGGUCAUCCAUUGAAGCCAUCUCUCUCACUCUGUACAGUCACACUGUUGCCGCUUCAUUCUCAUUGUCUCAUAAUCUCAUUAUUAUGGCUGCUGUGGAUGCUUUAAAAAAUAAACAUUUUUCUCUUAGGUAAAAUCAAACCAGUGGGAUGUUAGAUUGAAAACCUCCAAAGCAAUGUAUUAAAAAUUGAAAGACAGUCCUA